rnacentral:rRNA from 1 species
GUCCACGCCGUAAACGAUGGAUACUAGCUGUUGGAAGCAAUUUCAGUGGCUAAGCGAAAGUGAUAAGUAUCCCACCUGGGGAGUACGUUCGCAAGAAUGAAACUCAAAGGAAUUGACGGGGGCCCGCACAAGCGGUGGAGCAUGUGGUUUAAUUCGAUGAUACGCGAGGAACCUUACCAAGGCUUAAAUGUAGAUUGACCGGUUUUGGAAACAGACUUUUCGCAAGACAAUUUACAAGGUGCUGCAUGGUUGUCGU